rnacentral:sRNA from 1 species
AGAGGGUUGGGGAAGAGGAAUUGGGCCUUGAUAUUAGACGUGGUGCACCGACUGGGAGGGUUGGAAAACUGGGGGGAGUUGGCACGAACUCCAAGGACCACAGCGUCCCAGGGCAUACUGGCGGGAGUGGGCUUACCUUUGCUGCUAACUAAUGUGGGUUAUCUCUUAAAGUAUAGACAAACUCUCCAAGAUUUAACUUCUGUAGAAACCUGCACCAAAGAAGACGCGAGGAUGUGUCCAGCGCACGUGAAGUCCAAGGAAUGUCAGCUAUGUUGAUCUCGGUGUUACACCUGACCCUAACGCGUGCCUGAGUUGAUUUCUGCAGCUGCACCAUUUAUGACCCGCUGGCUCAAAAAAAAAAAAAAAAAAAACAAAAACAAAAACCAAAAAACAAAAAAAAAAAAAAAAAAAAAACCCUGACUACUCCGUUGACUAGACAGUCUCCUCGGGAAGCCGACAGGAGCUACCAGCUGGAGCUGACUGCCUAGCACCCUAGGCAAGAGGUCACAGUGGCGACUGCUCGAGCAACUCAAAGGAAGGUGGGGAGGAAAGGAAAACACAAUCCAAAUUUACAAAUUUUGGAAAGCCUUUUGCCUAACUUGGAUCGCCAGGCAGUAUUGGCGGGCUCAAGGCUCAGAGCGGACCGACCGCGGUCUUGAUGGUAGAGCCUCUGGCCGAUGCUUGUGUGCGCGCGAGAACCCUGGCUUCAAGGCUGCUCUCGCUGUUGCUUUUUAGUUACUUUCCAAAAGAGCCUAAUUUCGAUUUCCCCGCUAGCCUGAGCUGCUCGGGAGACUUUCUCCACCUCGCUGAUGGCUGCCUCUCCCCCUCCGCCAAGGCCGGAUCUGGGCGGUCCAUUCCCGUGUAUCUCCUUGGAACCUCUCUGGGGAAAGGGGUGGUGAACAACUCCCAGCUGCCGGUUCCAUUUGUUGCGCCUUUUUCCUUCGACACAAUAAAAGUCAAAUUAAUUGAUUCA